AAAAUAUGUCUGGUUCAGGAAACCCGACCGACCCUAUUUUUUACCCGCCGACCCUAAACUUUUUUUUCGAAAUCGCGGCCGAAAACCGCUAUACUGCGUAUUGAAAAUUUUCUUUUCUGUAGUUAUUGCUCUUUGGGUUAAUAGAGCGCGUUUAUAUCGAUCUUUGGGUUAAUAGAGCGCACAACAAUGGCGGCGCCCAUGGCGUGUUCACCAGCCACUUUGAUGGCCAUAAAACUCCAAAAAUGUGAACAUGGAGCAGAGCGGCAGGUCAUGAAAGCGGUCCAGCAUGGUUGCCUAGCUAAUGCCUUAUAUGAUUUUGUGCAACACCACUCACAAUGUGCAUUUGUUACAAUGACAGAAUUCACAAAAGAGAUGUAUUAAAGUGACUUAUCUUUACAAGAUAUUUUAAACAAAAUUGUCGACAGAAAUCUUUAAAAAAUGGAAUUUUUAUAAAAUACUAGGUUGUACAUGAAUCUCUUUUGUGAACUCUUUGUGCAGGUUAGCAUUGUACAGAGGGUGACUAAAAGGCAUAGGGUACAUAAACAGCAAGCAUAGAAAAGGAAAAUAAUGUGAAUAAACAAAGAUGAUACAUGGUUAGAUAGAUUAGAUAGAUUUAUUCGACAUAAAAAUUGCAUAUAACAUGACAAAUACAAAUUUAAACAUGUAUAAACAUAUAUAACAUUUAUGUCAAGGAUAACACAAAAAAGAGUUAAAAUAAAACCUUAUUUCCAUUGUGGUCCUUACAGAUAAUACAGGGUUGAAAUGCUCUGUUAUUAUGUGGUUAAAUGACUGCAUUGAAACAAGCACACAUCACAAUACCACAUGCUGGGAGUUACAAAGUGAUCUGACUGCUCUGUGCAUCGUCUACACAUAGACAACAUACGUCCAAAAAAAAAAAAAAAAAAAAAAAAAAAAAAUGGAAAAAAUGCCUACCCUCCUAAUUUUUU